rnacentral:rRNA from 1 species
GACGAACGCUGGCGGCGUGCUUAACACAUGCAAGUCGAACGGAAAGGCCCUGCUUUUGUGGGGUGCUCGAGUGGCGAACGGGUGAGUAACACGUGAGUAACCUGCCCUUGACUUUGGGAUAUCUUCAGGAAACUGGGGCUAAUACCGGAUAGGAGCUCCUGCUGCAUGGUGGGGGUUGGAAAGUUUCGGCGGUUGGGGAUGGACUCGCGGCUUAUCAGCUUGUUGGUGGGGUAGUGGCUUACCAAGGCUUUGACGGGUAGCCGGCCUGAGAGGGUGACCGGCCACAUUGGGACUGAGAUACGGCCCAGACUCCUACGGGAGGCAGGAGUGGGGAAUAUUGCACAAUGGGCGGAAGCCUGAGGCAGCAACGCCGCGUGCGGGAUGACGGCCUUCGGGUUGUAAACCGCUUUCGCCUGUGACGAAGCGUGAGUGACGGUAAUGGGUAAAGAAGCACCGGCUAACUACGUG